rnacentral:misc_RNA from 1 species
GAUGAAGAACGCAGCGAAAUGCGAUAAGUAAUGUGAAUUGCAGAAUUCAGUGAAUCAUCGAAUCUUUGAACGCACAUUGCGCCCGUCAGUAUUCUGGCGGGCAUGCCUGUUCGAGCGUCAUUACGCCCCUCAAGUCCCCUGUGGACUUGGUGUUGGGGAUCGGCGAGGCUGGUUUUCCAGCACAGCCGUCCCUUAAAUUAAUUGGCGGUCUCGCCGUGGCCCUCCUCUGCGCAGUAGUAAAACACUCGCAACAGGAGCCCGGCGCGGUCCACUGCCGUAAAACCCCCCAACUUUUUAUAGUUGACCUCGAAUCAGGUAGGACUAUCCGCUGAACUUAAGCAUAUCAAUAAGCGGAGGA